UAGUAACCAGUUUGUUACUGCCCACAUCCAGAAAGUGAUCCACACCGCUAGAAACCACAAGCAAGGCAAAGUUCUGUUAUCUGCAAAAUUCUUUUUUUCUCAAAUUUAGUUUCAAGAUUUUAUCAACCUGAAACUGAGAACUCAAGAUGCUUUGGUGCUGUUUAGAAUACUCAAUGGUUUUGAGUUUCAUAUUGCAUUGGCAAUCAACUUUAAACCCUGCUAAGGACUUUAUUUUCUGAAGCACCAACGUGUGCUUAACUGUUUCUGAAGCCACUAUGCAGUAGCAGAUAAGUUUGAUGAGGUUAAGGUGCUCAGAAACUGCUUGUGUACUUGAAAUCAGAUUUAUCUAUAGAAAAAACAUUGAAUUGCUACUGUUUUGUUAUAUACCAUUUCAAAAUAAGUUUUUAUUUUUGGUACGUGUCAAACAGUUUGCAUGAAAGAUUUAUUUGGUUUUUUUUCAUAUGGUCGAUUUAGGGACUGCAUGUGAUUCUUAGAAGCUGCAAAGUGCAUGUUUCAUAUCCUUUAUGCAAAUGCAAGAUGAGAUUUGCUGCCUGUCAUAACCUCAAAAAAAUAAGACUUCGAUUGAUGGACUUAUUAUCAUUAAGAACAUAACCUUUUCUUGACUCAAAAGUACUAAAUUAACCUACUUCCAGAAAAAUUCUUGCUGAACUCACCACAUGUUGCUUAUUUUAUUUUUUGAUUGACGAGAGCAUGUUUAGGAAAAGUUUGUUAUAUUUUCGUCAUUUCAAAAGCUAAGAUUUUUAAGUAUUCAAAAAAGAUCGAAGCAUUAGCUAGCUUCAAUGGUAUGUUUCUAUUGUACUGAUUCGUUUUGUUUUCAUUAUCAUGCUAAAUUGAUUUUCCUAUUCUUCAGGAAAUAUAAAUCUAUGAAGGCUACUCUUUUGUAAUAAAUGAGGAUAUGAAAACAUGAUAGCUUUAUAUAUUCAAUGCUAUCCUGUGAAUGAAUCAGUAAGAAAGCAUUUAUAAUCUAUAAUACAAAACCAAAUGUUACAAGAAUGAGUUUAUUGGACCUAAAUAUGAAAAAAGGUUUUGAUUUGCUCUAAAUUUGGGAACGGAAUGAGGUUUCAGAAUUUGUCCAAGCUAAUCACAUCAGUAGCUUGGUGAUUAGUGUAGUAGAGCAGCCAAUUCGACUAAAGUGAUGUACUAAUAUUGUUUAGUGUACGGCAUCUCACUUUCAACAGAGUUAUUCUUCUUCUUGAGUAGCUUGGCAUAUAUUAACAUUUGGAAGAUAUGAGAUAAUUGAUGCCUUGAAAUAUUCCUUUCAUUUAUUUUUAUCUCUUCAACUUAUUCAGGUCCUUAUUCAGUCUAUUUUAUAUCCAUGUUGGUAUAUAAUGGAUAACCAAGUUUAAGCUUCCACAGCCUUUGCUAUUGCACUGUUCUGAGCAGCUUGAAUCCCUGCGAACAGCACCACCAUCUUCCUUGUAGUAUCAAUCGUGAUCUAUCACCUGUUUAGGUAACUUGCUUGCUCACCUCCUAUUUAACAAUAUACCAAUGUGUCUUGUGCUUGUGUUUUAGGCAAAGGUAAACAUCAGGAGCAUAGGCGCAGGCAGCCAGCGCAAGCUAGGGCGGUAUGUCUAUCUUCCUCACAGCAACAUCCACUGCUACGAGGGGCUGUACUUUGUCGUUGGAUGAUCCAACAGUCCUAGGCAAUUGCAUGCCUUUGAUUGUUUGGUUAUUGGAACAGGAAUGGGAAAGGGAUCAGACAUCAGACCAGCAAGAGUACUUUGUAAUAUCAAGGCUAGCAGUGUUUCUUCCUCCAAAAGCAAACUCCAACUUGUCCAGGUCAAAUAUGUCAGCCAAUAUCCUCUGGCUAUCUGAGUUGUUGCUAUAAACAAAUUUCACUUUGUCGUACAACAUUGGCUCGAUGAAGUGUUUUACUAUCUGCAGAAAGAGCAAGCAUUUCAUACAUCUUGCCGACAUAUAUAUUCACUAAAACUCAUCAAUCUUUACAUAAAAGGAUUGAUACUGCCUUGCUUAAGUCAUAUCAUGGUCAUAGAAAAGCGUAAAGGUAGCUAUCAUGUUUAGUUGGAAUACCAACUACCAUAUGAUGAUUUUAGUAGUACAUUGAUAAUAUGCUUCUUAUCA